rnacentral:tRNA from 1 species
AAGAUGUUAGUUAAACUAUAACACUGUCUUGUCAAGACACAAUUACAACCUGAACCCUGUACAUCUUU